rnacentral:rRNA from 1 species
GACGAACGCUGGCGGCGUGCUUAACACAUGCAAGUCGAGCGAUGAAGUUUCUUCGGAAAUGGAUUAGCGGCGAACGGGUGAGGAACACGUGAAGAAUCUGCCCUCCACUUUGGGAUAACACAGGGAAACCUGUGCUAAUACCGAAUAUUGAAACAUAAGUGGCAUCACUGAGUUUUGAAAGAAUUUCGGUGGAGGAUGACUUCGCGGCCUAUCAGCUAGUUGGUGAGGUAAUGGCUCACCAAGGCAACGACGGGUAGCCGGCCUGAGAGGGCGACCGGCCACACUGGGACUGGGACACGGCCCAGACUCCUACGGGGGGCAGCAGUGGGGAAUAUUGGGCAAUGGAGGAAACUCUGACCCAGCGACGCCGCGUGCGGGAUGAAGGCCUUCGGGUUGUAAACCGCUUUCAGUAGGGAAGAAGCGAAAGUGACGGUACCUACAAAAGAAGCACCGGCUAACUAUGUGCCAGCCGCCGCCGUAA